rnacentral:rRNA from 1 species
GACGAACGCUGGCGGCGUGCUUAACACAUGCAAGUCGAACGGAAAGGCCCUGCUUUUGUGGGGUGCUCGAGUGGCGAACGGGUGAGUAACACGUGAGUAACCUGCCCUUGACUUUGGGAUAACUUCAGGAAACUGGGGCUAAUACCGGCUAGGAGCUCCUGCUGCAUGGUGGGGGUUGGAAAGUUUCGGCGGUUGGGGAUGGACUCGCGGCUUAUCAGCUUGUUGGUGGGGUAGUGGCUUACCAAGGCUUUGACGGGUAGCCGGCCUGAGAGGGUGACCGGCCACAUUGGGACUGAGAUACGGCCCAGACGCCUACGGGAGGCAGCAGUGGGGAAUAUUGCACAAUGGGCGGAAGCCUGAUGCAGCAACGCCGCGUGCGGGAUGACGGCCUUCGGGUUGUAAACCGCUUUCGCCUGUGACGAAGCGUGAGUGACGGUAAUGGGUAAAGAAGCACCGGCUAACUACGUG